GCUGGUGGGGGGGUUGUGGCUGUGUGUUCUUUCUGGUGUCUUUUUCUCCCCAUUCUUUUCUGUUUUUGUGUGUCUUUUGCAUUUGGAAGUAGCAGAUAGAAACUCAUUUUCAAAUACCAAACUGAAGGGCUUGAAAAGUGGAGUUUCUUUGAUCUAACAAUCAGAUCCCUUCACUGAAGACUAGAUAGAAAAAAGGUGUUCACCCAUUUUGUUAAUCACUGGUCAUAAUUAGGUUAGUAUGGGCUUCUUUAGGAAGGAUAUUUGUUUUUUUCUGUGAUUGUUGUGAUUGAUCUGUAGGGAACAAAUUUAUCUGAUCGUAGCCUUGAACCAAACAGAUGUUUUAAAAGUUAUUUUGAUUAGUUCAGCAUUACAUGGCCACAGAAGCAGAAGUGAGUGUGGCUUAAAGGGAAGAAACACAAAUUGAGGUUGAUAGAAGAUUCUUCAUCUACAUGUUUCCCAUUACUGUCUUCCCCUUAUUGAUAGGAUCCAUUUUUGACUAUAGUUUUGACUAUAGCUCUGGUGACUAGAGUAUGGAAGAGCAAUCUGAUAGGCAAUAUUUUCCUGCUGCAAACCAAGUCCUUUUGUCCCAUGCUCUCAACUUAGUUUAUGUAUGUAAAAGCGUGAAGGUACUUGCUGCAGAACUGAAAUAAGUGGCCCUUGGCUCAGUGAUAGUUUUUCAGGGAAUCUUAAAUAAUGCUCUUUUGUGAGCAGAGGGACAUACCAUUAGUUUUGGUGAUAAUUUAAGGCUGAGAACUUGGUGACAGAGCUGUUCCCUUGGUAUGACACUUACUGCUUAAUUUGGUCUUCAUUGUACUUCCUUUCAGCUUUGAAUGAAUCCAUAUGCUCAUCAUUGAUGUGAUGAAGAGUGAGGUAGGAACUGAGGUUGAGAUGAGUAGUCAAAUUUUAAAAGUAUUUUUGUCCUUCAUGAGGAGGAGGUAGACUCUCAAAAUCCUAAAGAUGAAUAGAUCUUGCUGUGAAACUGCAAAAGCUAGUGGAACAACCAGAACGUUCUUAGAAAUCUGAAGAAGCUGGAAAGGCAUCAUGUCAUACAUGUUGUCCAUGCCCUGUGUGCAUCAAGGGGCUCUGCAGCCUUGUCCCAUGUCUCCUGGGACUUGGGAUGCCUGGACUCACAGCCAGCAAAUGGGCAACCUGGGAUCAGACUGCUGAGAAAACAAUCCAUGUGGAAGAGGUUGGCUGGGAUCUCCUUUUCUCUGCCCAGCAGCUGCAGUCAAGCUCAGGCCCUUAACGUGGAUGUCUUCUCCAGCUGUGCCGCAGGAACGUCAGUGCCCAGCCUUGCACCUUGCUCAUCCUCACCCCAACCUGCUGACUUUCCUUCUCAGCUUGGC
rnacentral:lncRNA from 1 species